AGAGUUUGAUCAUGGCUCAGAUUGAACGCUGGCGGCAGGCCUAACACAUGCAAGUCGAGCGGUAGCACAGAGAGCUUGCUCUCGGGUGACGAGCGGCGGACGGGUGAGUAAUGUCUGGGAAACUGCCUGAUGGAGGGGGAUAACUACUGGAAACGGUAGCUAAUACCGCAUAAUGUCGCAAGACCAAAGUGGGGGACCUUCGGGCCUCAUGCCAUCAGAUGUGCCCAGAUGGGAUUAGCUAGUAGGUGGGGUAAUGGCUCACCUAGGCGACGAUCCCUAGCUGGUCUGAGAGGAUGACCAGCCACACUGGAACUGAGACACGGUCCAGACUCCUACGGGAGGCAGCAGUGGGGAAUAUUGCACAAUGGGCGCAAGCCGGAUGCAGCCAUGCCGCGUGUAUGAAGAAGGCCUUCGGGUUGUAAAGUACUUUCAGCGGGGAGGAAGGGAGUGAAGUUAAUAACCUCAUUCAUUGACGUUACCCGCAGAAGAAGCACCGGCUAACUCCGUGCCAGCAGCCGCGGUAAUACGGCGGGUGCAAGCGUUAAUCGGAAUUACUGGGCGUAAAGCGCACGCAGGCGGUCUGUCAAGUCGGAUGUGAAAUCCCCGGGCUCAACCUGGGAACUGCAUUCGAAACUGGCAGGCUGGAGUCUUGUAGAGGGGGGUAGAAUUCCAGGUGUAGCGGUGAAAUGCGUAGAGAUCUGGAGGAAUACCGGUGGCGAAGGCGGCCCCCUGGACAAAGACUGACGCUCAGGUGCGAAAGCGUGGGGAGCAAACAGGAUUAGAUACCCUGGUAGUCCACGCUGUAAACGAUGUCGACUUGGAG
rnacentral:rRNA from 1 species